rnacentral:sRNA from 1 species
GGUGACCUUUUCAGGAGGAAUUAGAUUGCCUGCCAAGACCGGUUAGAGGGAGUGAUAACGCCAGCUGAAGAAGCUGCCCAGCCGACUUCAGAGAGAAGGAGGCAGAGGCAGGAUGAGCAGGCUCUGGCUUCAUCAUGUGCAGCGGCAAAGAGAACCCGGACAGUGAUGCUGACUUGGAUGUGGAUGGGGAUGACACUCUGGAGUAUGGGAAGCCACAAUACACGGAGGCUGAUGUCAUCCCCUGCACAGGCGAGGAGCCUGGUGAAGCCAAGGAGAGAGAGGCACUCCGGGGCGCAGUCCUAAAUGGCGGCCCUCCCAGCACGCGCAUCACACCUGAGUUCUCUAAAUGGGCCAGUGAUGAGAUGCCAUCCACCAGCAAUGGUGAAAGCAGCAAGCAGGAGGCCAUGCAGAAGACCUGCAAGAACAGUGACAUCGAGAAAAUCACCGAAGAUUCAGCUGUGACCACGUUUGAGGCUCUGAAGGCUCGGGUCAGAGAACUUGAACGGCAGCUAUCUCGUGGGGACCGUUACAAAUGCCUCAUCUGCAUGGACUCGUACUCGAUGCCCCUAACGUCCAUCCAGUGUUGGCACGUGCACUGCGAGGAGUGCUGGCUGCGGACCCUGGGUGCCAAGAAGCUCUGCCCUCAGUGCAACACGAUCACAGCGCCCGGAGACCUGCGGAGGAUCUACUUGUGAGCUAUCUGCCCCAGGCAGGCCUUGCCUCCAGCAGCCCCACCUGCCCCCAGCCUCUGUGACAGUGACCCUCUCCCUUUGUACAUACUUGCACACAGGUUCCCCAUGUACAUACAUG